AUGACUGUGCGUCGUAAUAUCAUCACACAACUUCAACUUCUUCGCAUCAAGGUGAGAAACAACAGAGGCACAUCCAAAAGGUUCAUCGGAAUGACGGCAUCGAAAGGACAAGUCACGACCCAACUCCUCUCACAAGCAUUGUUGUUGCCAAACAAAUUGCAACGCCACCAUGUGGAAAAAUCACCAUCCAUGGAUCUCUUUGAUAGGCCAGCUCCAAAGACGAAGCCUCCAAUGAGAGGAACGGCGCAAGACGCGUCACCAUAUUCCGGUCUAGGAGCCUGGAUCCGAGGUUUUGCAUAG
rnacentral:rRNA from 1 species